GCCGGCGCCGCGUAACAGAUUUCGACGGUAGCUGGCGAGCCGCAACGGAACGGUGCUCUUCCCUGCUGCCACAAAAUGAGGCGGCAGCCCUGUUUCUGCUGCGCGCGACGCGACGGCACCGCGGGCUGUCGGUUGGUGGCUUUUGUACCGUUCUGCCGACACUUCUCUCGUUAUAAGGCAGGAUGUGCCUCAUUUGCGCAGCAGCCCGCUCACUCCUCUCCUCUCCUCCCUGCUCUCUCUGCUCUACCCUAGCACAUUGAGAAAGACAGCUUAAAUAGCUACUUUGAUCACGAUUUUGAGCGAUUUGAAGGCCGAUUCAGAAGAAGUUUUAGUUGAAGAAAAGAUAGAUCAAGGCAUGAUUUCAUCACUUUAAGGAGUCAUCUGGAGCUUCUGGAGUAGGAUUUGCCGUGCGAAGUGAACUACGAAGUUGAAGAUCAAGGUAAAAAAAUAUCAUCUGAGUAACAAACAAUGAUGAGAUGACGUGAUUGAAGAAAUUGUGUUUCGAUCUUCGAUGUCCCUUUUGAGGUUAACUCCAUUGAUAUAUUACCGGUGAUAUGUUCAUGCUGACGGAUUUUUUUUGAACUAUUGCGGCGCUUAAGUUUAUUCGAAACAACAUCUAUAUUUAAGCUGAGAUCAAUGAUGGCGGCGUUGCUACACCCACCUAUUUUGACAAUAUAAUGAAAAUAAGUUCCAUAAGUAUAUAAAGGAGUCCUUGAUCGCCAAAUUGGAAGGUUGCAUGAAAGGUUGAAAAAGGUAGUGGAGCCGAAGAGUGAAACUUUCAGAAUGAUUGCAACAAAGCAUCCAUUUUUAUGGACUGAAGAAAGCGAGGACAACGAUGAUAUCUUCAUGUUGCCACUUCCGGGUUCUGCAUCCUCGAAGGCAAGAAUUCUGCAUCAUCCAAGGGAAAGAGUUCCGCGUCCUUGAAGGGCAAGAGUUCUGCAUCGAUGGAGGAUGACGAUGAUGCCUUCAUGUAGUUUUUAAGCUACAUCCUCGAAGGGCAAGAUUGUCGUGGUUCUGAACGCUGGACAGAGGGACAUGGGGGACGAUGUGUGAGUUUAGUGUCUUAAUUUCUGCAGUUUCAUAUAGCUUUAUUUCGCAGUCGUUUGUAUCUUAAUUUCUGCAGUUUAGUGUAGCUUUAUUUCAGUACUUAAAUGUAGCCUUAUUUCAAUAGCAUGAUGUAUCUUAAUUUCAGUUGUACCGUGUCUUAAUGAAAAAAAUAUAGUUUUACAAUAAAAUGUAGCAUUUUAUUUCCCUCCAGUAAUUAUCGAACAUCAUGCAACAAGUACAACAAGCACAAACUAAUAAUGCAAGUACAUCUGAAUUUAACAGGACUGGCGCAUUUUUAUUUCAGCGUACAUAAUGUUUCAUACAUAAGUCGAAAAGUAUGAUACUAACAUAUGUAGAUACAAUGGGUCACACACGUUGAUAGAUGAAUCAUUUUAGUCGACGACGGCCACCUGGCCUUCCCUUCGGACCGGAAAGCUCCAAGUGAUUAGGUGGUCGAGUUACACGAAGACCGCGACCGUACUCCAGUUGGCCUUCCUGUGUCUGUGACUCCUGCAUAGGUGGUGGAGUCUGUAAUCCUUGUGACGAAUCUGAUGCGUAAUUGUAGGCGUAUGGUUGUUGUGGCUCCUCGGGGAUAAAAGAUGGGCCAAUAACGUCCUCUCCGAAGAAUUCUGUAACUACUGCAUUAAAAUUGUCGCCAUCAUCUUGCGAUGAUCCCUAUAUGCGUGUGUUGAGGCCAGAUUGGGUGUACUCAUCGUCCCAAUUUACAUUAGGUAAGUCCUGCACAUAGAAACAUUGUAAACAAAAACAGUUAGAGGAUAAUAUGUAAUAUCACUAUAAAUGCAUUAAAAUGUAAACAUGACUACCCGAUCAGAUCCCUCGCCUGUACUGUCUGGACAUUCUACCUGGUACUGGUUUAAAUCUGGGACACGAGUCUCCUCGGGCAUGGAGAUCCCUCGCGUGGAGAGAUACGGCUAAGAUCCCUCACCUUGAGUGUAUGCACCAUAUCCAGUGUAGGCAUAUGGGUUUGAGGAAAGAUACAGCUUGGGCAUCGAAUCCAAGCCCAUGCCAUGGUCCUGCGAUGUCUGCCCCUGACGAAGCAGCACCGAAGAAGAGCGAUGUAGUGGCAGAGAUGAGUCAUGUCAUGGAAAUGUCGUUGUAGUACUCGGACCCUCCCCCCACUUCCCAUGGCUUGUACGCGCCUCGCUCGACCUGGACGACGCCGCCGCACUCGGUCUGGCUGAUCUCGGUACUUGGCAUGUUGUACGCUCCUGUGACAACGUCGUCGCCUCUACCACAUCUUAACUUUGUUACCAUGUAUUAUUUAAGACAUUUAUGGAAUGACUUGACAGCUGAUCCCUUAGCCGGCAUGCUUUCCGUUGCGAUCUGCGCUAUUUCGUUGGCAGUUUGAAGCUGAAAAAUAUUUGGUUGUUAUUUGGUUGAAAUGAUUAUGAAAUAAUGGACCUGAAAAAAUUACUAGUGAUUACCGUCUGGUCAGGAUAGAAAGCUGGAUGCAGCUCAACAUGUCUCCGCAUCUGCUCCUCGUGCGUGAGAUUUGUUGGUAUCAUAGCUGGUUGACUCGCCAGGCUUGUAUGUGUGCUGAUGUAGUACCACUGCUUGUACGCUUGAGCUAUACUUCCAUCAUACGGUCUGCAAAAUUAUAUAAUUACAUUAACCGUUGUGAUAAAAGCAAAGUAUCUUCACGCAUCGUAUGGUCAUCGUAAUAAAGUAAUGUAAAUAAAAUGUACCUAAGUUGACACACUAUAUCUGCUAGCGCUUCAUUUUCCCACUUGUGUACCCAUUGAAUGUUGCGUUCCCUCCAAUUGUAAGAACUCCAACCAUGGCCCAUAUUGGUUAGCCUGCAAAUUAUGUAACAAAGUGUGAGUUUAGUAAAAAAGGACACUAACU